rnacentral:pre_miRNA from 1 species
AAUAAGAUCAUUUUUCAGUUUUUUACUACAAUACUUUAACUCUUCGUUUUAUUUGAAUUUUUUUACGAUUAAUAUUUUUAUUCUUACUAGAUGCUAAAACAUAAAUAGUAUUUUAUAUGUGACUAAUCUUUUUAAGUUUUUUAAUAAAUUUUUCAAAUAAGACGAAUGGUCAAACAUUGAACACAAAAAACGAAAAAUGAAGUUAUU